CUCAGACGGAGGAGGACGCAACAUAUCAGCAUCUAGAGUCUUAGGGAGCUGGCUCUGUGUACUGUCUGAGGGUGGCAGUCUGACUGACGGCUGGCUUGCACAGGAAUCUCUUGGCAUAUCAUCAAUCAGCAACAGGACCAUAAGGAAAACAAAGAAGGAAUAAUACCUCUAACAACCUAAGGUGACCUUCAUACUAUGUUCACUGGAGUAUGUAAUGGGACCAUCAAUACAGAAGACAUCAUCAUCAUCAUGAUCAAUUAAAAGUACAUGCCUUUUGAUACCUAACAUCAAUUAAAAGCCCCUUCCCCACAGAAACGCACUGACUUCAAUAAGCUGUAUGUAAUUUUGCAGAAGUCUGCCCCCAACAUUGAAGGACAUACCAAUCCAGUUAAUAAAUGAUCAUACUCCCAGUAACAGAAACCAUGCCAAUUAAUACAACUGUACCUCAGUUGUCUAUGUCCACAAAAUUCAACACCCCAAACCCCACACAUUUAAAACUAAAAAUCUACUCCUGUUUUCUUACAUGUUAGCUAAAAAUCAAAGUGUGAGGAGUAGAACUUCAGUACUUACUAUUCCUUAAUGACACUUCAAUUACCAUGAAAUUACAAUUACCCAUGAUGUAAGUACA